rnacentral:rRNA from 1 species
UACGGGGGGGCAAGCGUUGUUCGGAAUUACUGGGCGUAAAGGGCUCGUAGGCGGCCAACUAAGUCAGACGUGAAAUCCCCAGGCUUAACCUGGGAACUGCGUCCGAUACUGGCGAGGCUUGAAUUCGGGAGAGGGAUGUGGAAUUCCAGGUGUAGCGGUGAAAUGCGUAGAUAUCUGGAGGAACACCGGUGGCGAAGGCGGCAUCCUGGACCGAGAUUGACGCUGAGGCGCGAAAGCUAGGGUAGCAAACGGG